rnacentral:lncRNA from 1 species
UGUUCCAUUGGGGACCCCUGCCAGUCCCAGACUCUUCCAGCAGUCAGGCAUUGGCCAAGGGCAGAGCUUGUAUCACUCCUGUGUCCCUGCCCCCUGCCCCUCAACAGGCCAGGAGAGGCUCUUGCCCCAGGAACCCUCUCUCUCCUGUCUCUCCUUCCUUUGUGUGCCUUUUCUCUUCCUCCCUGGGAAGAGGCCACAGGAGGGGGUGUCUGAAGCACAAGGAACUCCUUCAGGAAAAGAAGCUUUGACUUGGAGCUGGGCCACCUGGACUUGUUCGGUCUCUGACUUGCUGUGCAGUCCCUUGCGCUCUCUGGUCUUCCAUUUCCCAUCACAGGUAGGUAGUAUCCCUUGUCUGAAAUGCUCAGAAUCAGAAAUAGUUCCAAUUUGGGAACAUUUGCACAGACUUCACCAGUUGAACAUCCCUAAUCUCGAAAUCCAGAAUGCUCCAGAAUUUGAAAUCAAUUGAGCAUAUGUUGGCACUCAAAAUUUUCAGAUUUGGGAUUUCUGGAUUAGGGAGCUCAAGUCGGAUCACCUGUACUGCAUAUUUGAUCAUCAUGUGCCCAACAGAGUUGCUCCUUGGAAAAUGAGAGUCCCAGGUGCUUGCCCCCACCCCACAUCAACCUGCCCCCAGCCCCUUGCAGCCUCUUUAAUCCCCUCAGAUCUGCCUGCCUUGAAUUCCCCUGUGGGCCGCUGAGCUGGGGUCUGAAUGGGAAGCAGGGAGCUCAGGGCUGUGGGAAGCAGGCAGGGGCUGGGCCUGUCGCCUGCCGAGGGAGGGGGCUGUGGGCCCCCAGGCCAUUCAUCGCUAAGC